AUCCAGCUGACUACAAGUCCUAAAUAGGACGAAAUGCGCAUCCUGAAU
rnacentral:hammerhead_ribozyme from 1 species